CCUAUUGCAGGCAUCUCAAAUAAGAGAUGUCAUAUAAAUAGUUACAACUUUUACCACCCUCUCCACCUAAGCAUUGGCUAGAAAAUUAAGCAAAGCUGGCAAUGAGGGUGCUUGAAAAGCUACAAAAAUUGAGCCAAAGUAGACCAACAAUUCUGAGCAAAAGCACAGGUGACAAUAGAGUGCUCACAAUUUUCUGGGUCAGCUUGGAAUAAAUCACAAGCUGUGAGGA
rnacentral:lncRNA from 1 species